GACGAACGCUGGCGGCGUGCUUAACACAUGCAAGUCGAACGGAAAGGCCCUGCUUUUGUGGGGUGCUCGAGUGGCGAACGGGUGAGUAACACGUGAGUAACCUGCCCUUGACUUUGGGAUAACUUCAGGAAACUGGGGCUAAUACCGGAUAGGAGCUCCUGCUGCAUGGGGGGGGUUGGAAAGUUUCGGCGGUUGGGGCUGGACUCGCGGCUUAUCAGCUUGUUGGUGGGGUAGGGGCUUACCAAGGCUUUGACGGGUAGCCGGCCUGAGAGGGUGACCGGCCACAUUGGGACUGCGAUACGGCCCAGACGCCUACGGGAGGCAGCAGUGGGGAAUAUUGCACAAUGGGCGGAAGCCUGAUGCAGCAACGCCGCGUGCGGGAUGACGGCCUUCGGGUUGUAAACCGCUUUCGCCUGUGACGAAGCGUGAGUGACGGUAAUGGGUAAAGAAGCACCGGCUAACUACGUG
rnacentral:rRNA from 1 species